GAGUCUGGCACUUAGUUGGAACAGUACAGUGGUCCCGUCCUAGGAGAGUCAGCAAGUUACAAAGGACUGUGAGAGUUGUGACUUCAUAUGACCCAUGUUAGCAAGGAUAUGUUGGGUGGGACGUGGAAAUCUCAUGCUCACGGUGGCCUUCAGAAGCUCAGUCCUGAGCACACUGCAUAGAAGGUGAGGAGGCACAAAUCAACACUAGACCCAUGUGUUUAGUGAAGACUGAAGUCA
rnacentral:lncRNA from 1 species